rnacentral:rRNA from 1 species
GACGAACGCUGGCGGCGUGCCUAACACAUGCAAGUCGAACGGAAAGACGCGGCGUUUGUGGGUUUCUCGAGUGGCGAACGGGGGAGUAACACGUGAGUAACCUGCCCUUGACUGUGUGAGAACUUCAGGGAAAUGGGGCGCAUAUCGGAGAUGAUCUCCUGAUGCGUGGUGUGGGAUGGAAAGUGUCGGCGGUUGGGGCUGGAUUGGAGGCUUAUGAGCUGGUUGGUGUGGUAGGGGAUUACCAAGGCUUUGACGGGUAGCCGGCCUGAGAGGGUGACCGGCGACCAGGGUACUGCGGUACGCACCAGUAUGCUACGGGACGCAGCGGUGGGGAGUAUUGCACAGUGGGCGGAAGCCAGAUGCAGAGGUGCCGCGUGCGUAAUGACCGCCUUCGGGUUGUAAACCGAUUUGGCAUGUGCUGAAGAGUUAGUGACGGUACUGGGUCAAGAAGCCACGGCUAACUACGUG